GAUUAAGUUAUUAAGGGCGCACGGUGGAUGCCUUGGCACUAGAAGCCGAUGAAGGACGUUACUAACGACGAUAUGCUUUGGGGAGCUGUAAGUAAGCUUUGAUCCAGAGAUUUCCGAAUGGGGAAACCCAGCAUGAGUUAUGUCAUGUUAUCGAUAUGUGAAUACAUAGCAUAUCAGAAGGCACACCCGGAGAACUGAAACAUCUUAGUACCCGGAGGAAGAGAAAGAAAAUUCGAUUCCCUUAGUAGCGGCGAGCGAAACGGGAAGAGCCCAAACCAACAAGCUUGCUUGUUGGGGUUGUAGGACACUCUAUACGGAGUUACAAAGGACGACAUUAGACGAAUCAUCUGGAAAGAUGAAUCAAAGAAGGUAAUAAUCCUGUAGUCGAAAAUGUUGUCUCUCUUGAGUGGAUCCUGAGUACGACGGAGCACGUGAAAUUCCGUCGGAAUCUGGGAGGACCAUCUCCUAAGGCUAAAUACUCUCUAGUGACCGAUAGUGAACCAGUACCGUGAGGGAAAGGUGAAAAGCACCCCGGAAGGGGAGUGAAAUAGAACCUGAAACCGUGUGCUUACAAGUAGUCAGAGCCCGUUAAUGGGUGAUGGCGUGCCUUUUGUAGAAUGAACCGGCGAGUUACGAUUUGAUGCAAGGUUAAGCAGUAAAUGUGGAGCCGUAGCGAAAGCGAGUCUGAAUAGGGCGUUUAGUAUUUGGUCGUAGACCCGAAACCAGGUGAUCUACCCUUGGUCAGGUUGAAGUUCAGGUAACACUGAAUGGAGGACCGAACCGACUUACGUUGAAAAGUGAGCGGAUGAACUGAGGGUAGCGGAGAAAUUCCAAUCGAACCUGGAGAUAGCUGGUUCUCUCCGAAAUAGCUUUAGGGCUAGCCUCAAGUGAUGAUUAUUGGAGGUAGAGCACUGUUUGGACGAGGGGCCCCUCUCGGGUUACCGAAUUCAGACAAACUCCGAAUGCCAAUUAAUUUAACUUGGGAGUCAGAACAUGGGUGAUAAGGUCCGUGUUCGAAAGGGAAACAGCCCAGACCACCAGCUAAGGUCCCAAAAUAUAUGUUAAGUGGAAAAGGAUGUGGCGUUGCCCAGACAACUAGGAUGUUGGCUUAGAAGCAGCCAUCAUUUAAAGAGUGCGUAAUAGCUCACUAGUCGAGUGACACUGCGCCGAAAAUGUACCGGGGCUAAACAUAUUACCGAAGCUGUGGAUUGUCCUUUGGACAAUGGUAGGAGAGCGUUCUAAGGGCGUUGAAGCAUGAUCGUAAGGACAUGUGGAGCGCUUAGAAGUGAGAAUGCCGGUGUGAGUAGCGAAAGACGGGUGAGAAUCCCGUCCACCGAUUGACUAAGGUUUCCAGAGGAAGGCUCGUCCGCUCUGGGUUAGUCGGGUCCUAAGCUGAG
rnacentral:rRNA from 1 species